rnacentral:rRNA from 1 species
GACGAACGCUGGCGGCGUGCUUAACACAUGCAAGUCGAACGGAAAGGCCCUGCUUUUGUGGGGUGCUCGAGUGGCGAACGGGUGAGUAACACGUGAGUAACCUGCCCUUGACUUGGGGAUAACUUCAGGAAACUGGGGCUAAUACCGGAUAGGAGCUCCUGCUGCAUGGUGGGGGUUGGAAAGUUUCGGCGGUUGGGGAUGGACUCGCGGCUUAUCAGCUUGUUGGUGGGGUAGUGGCUUACCAAGGGAUUGACGGGUAGCCGGCCUGAGAGGGUGACCGGCCACAUUGGGACUGAGAUACGGCCCAGACUCCUACGGGAGGCAGCAGUGGGGAAUAUUGCACAAUGGGCGGAAGCCUGAUGCAGCAACGCCGCGUGCGGGAUGACGGCCUUCGGGUUGUAAACCGCUUUCGCCUGUGACGAAGCGUGAGUGACGGUAAUGGGUAAAGAAGCACCGGCUAACUACGUG